UCAAACUUGGUCAUUUAGAGGAAGUAAAAGUCGUAACAAGGUCUCCGUAGGUGAACCUGCGGAGGGAUCAUUACCGAGUUCGUGCCCCUCGUGGGUAGAUCUCCCACCCUUGUGUGUAUCAUAUCUCUGUUGCUUUGGCAGGCCGCUUGGGCUCUCGAGCCCGACCACCGGCUCCCCAGCUGGUGCGCGCCUGCCGGAGACCACACCAAACUCUUGUUUGUUCAGUGUCGUCUGAGUCCCAUUGCAAAUCGUUAAAACUUUCAACAACGGAUCUCUUGGUUCUGGCAUCGAUGAAGAACGCAGC
rnacentral:misc_RNA from 1 species